GCGUGAUAAUUUGCCCAUUAAUUGUGGGCUUGUAUGAAUGGAUAAACGAGAGAAUAGCUGUCUCCCUUUUAGAUAUAAAAAUUAGCAUUUAGGUGAAGAGACCUAAAUUAAAUUAGAGGACAAGAAGACCCCGUAGAGCUUAGUCUACAAACCCUAUAAAUAUGAAUAACAUAUAUCAAAUUUAUAACCAGUCAAAAGACUUAGCUGGGGCGGCUAAGGAAUAUUUUAUCUUCCAAAUAUAACUAUAAUCUUUAUAAUAACCUACACGGCCCAUACGCCUCUCAAAAUAUGACCCUAAACUAGAAUAUAAAACAUAGCUACCUCGGGGAUAACAGAUUAAUCCUUCUUGAGAGUCCGCAUUGACAGAAGGGUUUGACACCUCGAUGUUGGCUUAGAGUACCCAAUAGAUCUGCAACAGUCUAUAUAUUGGUAGGUUUGUUCAACCUUUAAAACUCU
rnacentral:rRNA from 1 species